rnacentral:rRNA from 1 species
CUACGUGCCAGCAGCCGCGGUAAUACGUAGGGGGCAAGCGUUAUCCGGAUUUACUGGGUGUAAAGGGAGCGUAGACGGCUGGACAAGUCUGAAGUGAAAGCCCAGGGCUCAACCCUGGGACUGCUUUGGAAACUGCCCGGCUAGAGUGCUGGAGAGGUAAGUGGAAUUCCUAGUGUAGCGGUGAAAUGCGUAGAUAUUAGGAGGAACACCAGUGGCGAAGGCGGCUUACUGGACAGUAACUGACGUUGAGGCUCGAAAGCGUGGGGAGCA